rnacentral:lncRNA from 1 species
AAUGAAACUGUGAACGAAUGACUGCUUACAGAUUUAAUCUGACCGAGUUUUGUUGCUAAUUGUGGCAAUACAUGACUGGUUAAAGUCUUCGUUGAUGAGAAGUCCCACUGGCAGAGACACAAAUGUUUACUGAAUCCUCUUUGUAACAUAUUAUUACAUAUACCUGAUAUGCCAGCUGAUUUUCAGUUCAUUACUACCUAGCUAGCUAUUUAUUUUAGUUGCUGAUGAUCUAGGUAAUAAAUUUCAAUUUGAGCCUUCAAAUAUGGUUCAAAUAGUUUUCUAAAAGAUAACUGGGGGUUCGAUGUUAGCUCAGAAGGAUGCAGGUAGAUAUAAUAUUCCAGAACUUGGCCUAAACUAUACUUAAUAAUUAACCAGGACCAACUAAUUAAGCUCCAUGCCAUAUUAGCAUGACAAUGAGCUAGCACAGUAGAUACUCGAUGCUUAGAAAAUAAACAAAUUAUGUGCAUGGAGGUUCAAUAGAAUACUUAAACAAGUUGCCGUCUACCUCAAACAAUUAACUACCGAAAAAUAUAUGGGAAAAAGCCCUAAUGCACAAAAUAGAAAAAGUCAAACCCCAUUUCAAUGAUAAUCUUUUUUAUUAGCCCAUUUGAAUACAAGGUACUUAUUUUAAGCCCAAAUACACAAAUCUUUAUUAAAAUAUAAUAAAAUUAUAUUUUUAAAGACUUUUUUACCCUUAGCUUUUACUUAAAGUGAAAAAGAUGGAGGGAAGACUUUGCCGGAAGCACACCGGGCUCCGGCACCAGUCCCCGGCGGCCGCAUUCCGGUCGCCGGACUCCGAACUCCGGCCGCCGGAAUCCGGUCACCGGUGACCGGAAUUUUCCGACUACCGGAAAAUUGCCGACAUCCGAUGGCCGGAAUUUUACUACCCCUAGUAAACUUCUGCUGGAGGUAGUAAUCUUUUACUGGGGGUAGUAAACUUGCAAAACAGUAGCUCCAAUGGCAUAAUUCAUAUUGAAAAGGAGAAAAAUCAACUUAGAUGCGAAAAAAUGAAUUUACUGGGGGUAGUAAACUUGGAAAAACAGUAGCUCCAAUGCCAUAAUUUAUAUUCAAACGGAGAAAAAUAAACUUAGAUGCGAAAAAAUGAAGUUUACUACCCCUAGUAAACUUUUACUGGGGGUAGUAAACUUGCAAAACAGUAGCUCCAAUGCCAUAAUUCACAUUGAAAAUGAGAAAAAUCAACUUAGAUGCGAAAAAAUGAAGAUUACUACCUCUAGUAAACUUUUAUUGGGGGUAGUAAACUUGCAAAACAGUAGCUCCAAUGCCAUAAUUCACAUUGAAAAAGAGAAAAAUCAACUUAGAUGUGUAGUAAACUUUUACUCGGGGUAGUAACCUUGCAAAACAGUAGCUUCAAUGCCAUUAUACACAUUAAAACAAUGAAAAAUCAACUUAAAUGUGAAAAAAUAAAGUUUACUACCCCUAGUAAAUUUUACUGGGGGUAGUAAACUUGCAAUACAAUAUUUUCCUAGUCAGUAUAUACAUUAAAACACACACAAAAAAAUCAACUUAGAUGCAGACAAAUAAAGUUUACUGCCCCUAGUAAACUUCUACUAGGGGUAGUAAAC